rnacentral:rRNA from 1 species
AGUGAACGCUGGCGGUAGGCCUAACACAUGCAAGUCGAACGGCAGCACAGUAAGAGCUUGCUCUUACGGGUGGCGAGUGGCGGACGGGUGAGGAAUACAUCGGAAUCUACUUUUUCGUGGGGGAUAACGUAGGGAAACUUACGCUAAUACCGCAUACGACCUACGGGUGAAAGCAGGGGAUCUUCGGACCUUGCGCGAUUGAAUGAGCCGAUGUCGGAUUAGCUAGUUGGCGGGGUAAAGGCCCACCAAGGCGACGAUCCGUAGCUGGUCUGAGAGGAUGAUCGGCCACACUGGAACUGAGCCACGGUCCAGACUCCUACGGGAGGCAGCAGUGGGGAAUAUUGGACAAUGGGCGCAAGCCUGAUCCAGCCAUACCGCGUGGGUGAAGACGGCCUUCGGGUUGUAAAGACCUUUUGUUGGGAAAGAAAAGCAGCAGGUUAAUACCCCGCUGUUCUGACGGUACCCAAAGAAUAAGCACCGGCUAACUUCGUG